rnacentral:tRNA from 2 species
GAUCGUGUGGCCUAGUGGUUAGGGCAUGUCCUUUACAGUGAGUGGUAUAACUUUAAAUGCUGAUCGGAUGGGAUCGCAGGUUCGACCCCUGCCACGAUCA